rnacentral:rRNA from 1 species
UACGUAGGGUGCAAGCGUUAAUCGGAAUUACUGGGCGUAAAGCGUGCGCAGGCGGUUUUGUAAGUCUGACGUGAAAUCCCCGGGCUCAACCUGGGAAUUGCGUUGGAGACUGCAAGGCUAGGAAUCUGGCAGAGGGGGGGUAGAAUUCCACGUGUAGCAGUGAAAUGCAUAGAGAUGUGGAGGAACACCGAUGGCGAAGGCAGCCCCCUGGGUCAAGAU